UACGAAGGGUGCAAACGUUGCUCGGAAUUAUUGGGCGUAAAAGCGCACGUAGGCGGCUUGGCAAGUCGGAUGUGAAAUCCCUCGGCUCAACCAAGGAAGUGCAUCCGAAACUGCUGAGCUUGAGUACUUAAGAGGAUCGCGGAAUUCCCGGUGUAGAGGUGAAAUUCGUAGAUAUUGGGAAGAACACCGGUGGCGAAGGCGGCGACCUGGUCCAUUACUGACGCUGAGGCGCGACAGCGUGGGGGAGCAAACAGG
rnacentral:rRNA from 1 species